rnacentral:rRNA from 1 species
CCUACGGGGGGCAGCAGUGGGGAAUCUUCCGCAAUGGGCGAAAGCCUGACGGAGCAACGCCGCGUGAUCGAAUGAAGGCCUUCGGGUUGUAAAGAUCUGUUGACAGGGACGAAUAAGCAAUGCGAAUAGUUUUGUGUAUGACGGUACCUGUUUAGAAAGCUCCGGCUAACUACGUGCCAGCAGCCGCGGUAAUACGUAGGGGGCAAGCGUUAUCCGGAUUUACUGGGUGUAAAGGGGGCGCAGACGGCAAUGCAAGCCAGGAGUGAAAGCCCGGGGCCCAACCCCGGGACUGCUCUUGGAACUGGAUGGCUGGAGUACAGGAGGGGCAGGCGGAAUUCUCGGGGUAGCAGUGAAAUGCGUAGAUAUCGAGAGGAACACUCGUGGCGAAGGCGGGUUCCUGGACAUUAACUGACGCUGAGGCACGAAGGCCAGGGGAGCGAAAGGGAUUAGAUACCCGUGUAGUC